rnacentral:rRNA from 1 species
CAGUAGCCGCGGUAAUACAGAGGGUGCGAGCGUUAAUCGGAUUUACUGGGCGUAAAGCGUGCGUAGGCGGCUUCUUAAGUCGGAUGUGAAAUCCCUGAGCUUAACUUAGGAAUUGCAUUCGAUACUGGGAAGCUAGAGUAUGGGAGAGGAUGGUAGAAUUCCAGGUGUAGCGGUGAAAUGCGUAGAGAUCUGGAGGAAUACCGAUGGCGAAGGCAGCCAUCUGGCCUAAUACUGACGCUGAGGAGCGAAAGUGUGGGGAGCGAACAGGAUUAGAUACCCGAGUAGUCCCUGUCUCUUAUAA